UCGGAUUAGCUAGUUGGUGAGGUAAUGGCUCACCAAGGCUACGAUCCGUAACUGGUCUGAGAGGAUGAUCCAGUCACACUGGAACUGAGACACGGUCCAGACUCCUACGGGAGGCAGCAGUGGGGAAUAUUGGACAAUGGGCGAAAGCCUGAUCCAGCCAUGCCGCGUGUGUGAAGAAGGUCUUCGGAUUGUAAAGCACUUUAAGUUGGGAGGAAGGGCAUAACCUAAUACGUUAGUGUUUGACGUACCGACAGA
rnacentral:rRNA from 1 species